GGGAAUUGUCCCAAUUAUGCUGGACUGGAUAGGCAGUGUCUGCUUGGAUCAGGUCCUGCCCCUCCGUGAGGCCGAGCAUCCCGUCCCAGAAUGACCCUGAGCAUGGCUCGCAAAAAGGGCAUUUUCAAUGCCGUGGAGGAGGAGACACAAAAGGAAAGCAAACAGCCAUUCCUCUACAUUCAUUCAUUUGAUUAUAAAAGCAAAAAAGGGAUUAGAAUAAAAAUAAUAAAAAACUGUUCCAGGUUUAUGAGUCGAAAUGAGCAGAAUUAUUAAAUGAAUUCCAGAAAUCACACUUUGAAUGAUAAAGGGAAUACAUUUAUCUUUUGCCUUUCAUCUAGCAACACUCUCAGUAUGAAAGACUCAGGAAACAGAGAGAGGCUGAAUUUCAUGAAUUCAGUAAUGAUUAAAAAGAGCAGAGCUUCUCCCGCAGCCUCUUACAUUCUUUCUUCAGGCUUGCAGUGCACUCAGGAAUUACUGUACAGAUCUUUUCCUUUAAUCUCCAGGUUCUGAAAUAUCACCUACCAUGAUAGUGAGACGUGAGAUUUUUCAGGGGAAUUGGAACUAUGUGGUGAUUCGUCAUUAGCUGAGCUCCGCUAAGUAUAUGAACAGGAUCAGAGAGCAAACGCCAGCAGCCACCCUAAACUGUCCAAAUGCCCUAACCCCAGGACUGCCAGGCAGCUCAUGAAAAAGUCUGCGAAGCAGUGGGGGCUGUGGAGGGACAGGAGACAGCGGCACAGACACGCAAGCCCGUAUGAUGUGUCUGUGCUGCUGUGUCGCCUGUCCCUCUCCAGCCCCCACUCGCCUCAUCGCAGCCUCCACACUUCCUUGCUGCUUAUCUCUGCGUGGCUGAGCAGGAAGCAGGGGGGCAUGGCUGGUAGCGUCCCAUGGGAGCCCUGUUUCACCCGGGCUAAGUGCAGAAGCAGCAAUUAGCCCGGCUCAUGCUGUGCUUGACAGGUGGGAGGGUGCAAGGAGACGCGGCCUCUUCAAAGCAGGUGUGAAUCCUCUGGCUGCAACUAAAUAUAUACAACAUAUAGACCAGGUCACGAAGUUCAGCUACUGUGCUGCUACACCUCUGAAUGACUAAAGUGACUGAUUUUACAAGUGCAUCGUUAUGGGACAGACACCGUGGUUUCAACAUCUUAGAAACAGCCACCCUCAUGGGAUUUUCACGUACUACACUGUGGUGAGUUUGCAGAGUGGGGUGCAAUAAGCACCAGUCUGCGGAAGCUCUGUUGACAAGAAAACUAAGAGCUCAGUACGACAGUGAUGUGCAGAAGGGCAUCACAGAACAAGCAGCCCUUAUGACUCUCGAAACCAAGGGGUGUCCUACCUCAUGCCUUGUAGGGAUACUUAAUAAAGUGGCCACUGAAUUUAUCUCAGAAUUGCAUUAAAUUGCACAGUAAAGCAAUAACUAUGUAUUGAAGAAAUAAUUGUCGUCUUUGUUUUCAUUUCCUGUGUUUUAUCUGCUUGCAGAUAGACUGUAUACCCGUGUGUAUGCAAAAAACAAAAAGUGUAAAAUGUAAAUCACGCUGUGCUUCUGUAUGAUGUGUCGUUAACUUCAAGGGUGCUGCGCUUGUUUGACAGAACAAAUCACAAAUGAAUGAAUAAAUAAUCAGAUGCAUAGUUCCUGCUGUGAGAUUAACAUGGAGGCAAGUGCCAACAGGGGAUGGUGGAGAAGAGUCUGGUGUGGAGGAAGAUCUCUAGCGUGCCAGAAACAUGGCAUGUAGCUUUAACAGACUUGUCGCUUGUCUGAAGGCAUGCGGGACAGUUUCAGUCUGUAAUUUCAGCUGAGGACCGGAUCAUACUUGAUUAGCUGGGAACUACACGGAUAUUGUAGCGCCUGUGCAAAACUUGUGAGGCAUGCAGGCAAUGGGUUGUGACAGUGAUGUGUAAGUGGCCUUUAAGCUGGCUUUCAACAAUGCAAAGCCUUGACCUCAGCUAUUUCCUCAUGCCGUUGUCUACAGCCAAGUAUUUCUUAAGCCAUUUGUUAUUCCACCAAAGGUUUGCCACAGAAACCCACGCCGCUCAUCUUCUCAGACGCAGCCGACGCUGGAAUUGCAUGGCAGGCCAUGCAAAGGUGUGUAGCAGACAGUGUCGACCAC